rnacentral:rRNA from 1 species
AGCAGCCGCGGUAAUUCCAGCUCCAAUAGCGUAUAUUAAAGUUGUUGCAGUUAAAAAGCUCGUAGUUGAACUUCGGGGUUUACCCAUUGGUCAGGCUUAAUUGUCUGCACUGGUGAGAUGAAUCUCUACCUUCUGAGGAACUUUCAUGCCAUUUAUUUGGUGUGAUGGGAAAUCAGGACUGUUACUUUGAAAAAAUUAGAGUGUUUAAAGCAGGCUAACGUCUGAAUACAUUAGCAUGGAAUAAUGAAAUAGGACGGACUGAUUCUAUUUCGUUGGUUUCUAGGAUCACCGUAAUGAUUAAUAGGGAUAGUUGGGGGCAUUAGUAUUCAAUUGUCAGAGGUGAAAUUCUUGGAUUUAUUGAAGACUAACUACUGCGAAAGCAUUUGCCCAGGAUGUUUUCAUUAAUCAAGAACGAAAGUUAGGGGAUCGAAGGCGAUCAGAUACCGUCGUAGUCUUAACCAUAAACUAUGCCGACUAGGGAUCGGACGAAGUUAAUUUUAUAAUGACGCGUUCGGCACCUUACG